UUGCACGCUGGCGGCAGGCCUAUCACAUGCAAGUCGAGCGGAUGAAGGGAGCUUGCUCCUGGAUUCAGCGGCGGACGGGUGAGUAAUGCCUAGGAAUCUGCCUGGUAGUGGGGGAUAACGUCCGGAAACGGGCGCUAAUACCGCAUACGUCCUGAGGGAGAAAGUGGGGGAUCUUCGGACCUCACGCUAUCAGAUGAGCCUAGGUCGGAUUAGCUAGUUGGUGGGGUAAAGGCCUACCAAGGCGACGAUCCGUAACUGGUCUGAGAGGAUGAUCAGUCACACUGGAACUGAGACACGGUCCAGACUCCUACGGGAGGCAGCAGUGGGGAAUAUUGGACAAUGGGCGAAAGCCUGAUCCAGCCAUGCCGCGUGUGUGAAGAAGGUCUUCGGAUUGUAAAGCACUUUAAGUUGGGAGGAAGGGCAGUAAGUUAAUACCUUGCUGUUUUGACGUUACCAACAGAAUAAGCACCGGCUAACUUCGUG
rnacentral:rRNA from 1 species